rnacentral:lncRNA from 1 species
AGGGAGCUCGGUUGGUGAUUUCUCGGGUUUCUGGCCUUUCCAGACCCUUGUAAUUGUUUUCUCGGUGCAGAGCUCUUUUGGGGUCUGGGGGUUUCCGUCGUCCUGCGCGCGUCAUCGCGAAGCUUGGCCUGAGGGUCCGGUUUCCUAGCUACUGUGCCCCUCCCUCCUGGAGGCAGAGUGACGGACUAGUGGGCUAGCGGGCGCUGGGUUCCUGCGUCCCG